GACAGAGGAUGCAAGCGUUAUCCGGAAUGAUUGGGCGUAAAGCGUCUGUAGGUGGCUUUUUAAGUCCGCCGUCAAAUCCCAGGCUCAACCCUGGACAGGCGGUGGAAACUACCAAGCUGGAGUACGGUAGGGCAGAGGGAAUUUCCGGUGGAGCGGUGAAAUGCGUAGAGAUCGGGAGGAACACCAGUGGCGAAGCGGCUACCUGGACCAGCACUGGACACUGAGUCACGAAGCGUGGGAGCAACAGG
rnacentral:rRNA from 1 species